rnacentral:misc_RNA from 1 species
GUAGAUGGCUGAAGCUCGGUAAGUUGCCUUCUUUAACCUAUAUGAAGCCUUGAAGCACCAGUCCAGCAGCAUAGCUGCCGGGCAACACUUGUCUGUUGCUGGCGUCUCAUUUAGAGUACCAGCAGUCGUUAUUGCGAUUCACAGAUCAAACGCAAGUGGUACUCUUUAACUCUCCUGAACGAAAGUACUUUUAAAGAGCAUUUUGAUAUGAUCGGUCCUUCUUUUAACUAAGACGGAUUAUACGUUCCGUAGGUGAACCUGCGGAAGGAUCAUUACCGAGUUAGGGUCUUAUAGGCCCGACCUCCAACCCUUUGUUUACUAUACCAUGUUGCUUUGGCGGGCCCGCCUUUCGGGGCCGCCGGGGGCUUUCACGCCCCUGGUCAGUGCCUGCCAGUAGCCUUAUUAAAUUCUUUUGUAAUUAUGUUGUCUGAGUAUAAAUAUGAAUCGUUAAAACUUUCAACAACGGAUCUCUUGGUUCUG